rnacentral:rRNA from 1 species
AUUGAACGCUGGCGGCAGGCUUAACACAUGCAAGUCGAGCGAGCGGCGGACGGGUGAGUAAUGUCUGGGAAACUGCCUGAUGGAGGGGGAUAACUACUGGAAACGGUGGCUAAUACCGCAUACCAUCGGAUGAACCCAUAUGGGAUUAGCUUGUAGGUUGGGUAAUGGCUCACCUAGGCGACGAUCUCUAGCUGGUCUGAGAGGAUGAGCAGCCACACUGGGACUGAGACACGGCCCAGACUCCUACGGGAGGCAGCAGGGGGGAAUAUUGCACAAUGGGCGCAAGCCUGAUGCAGCCAUGCCGCGUGUAUGAAGAAGGCCUUAGGGUUGUAAAGUACUUUCAGCGAGGAGGCGUUACUCGCAGAAGAAGCACCGGCUAACUCCGUGCCAGCAGCCGCGGUAAUAC